UGGCCCCGCGCCAGGCGACUCCGGGUUCAGUCUCCUGCGACCGCGUUUCCCGUCCCGCCCACGGCCGCGCCGGUGGGCGGUGCAAGGAGCAGCAGAGUCCUUGAAUGGUGUCAACCCAGAGCAGACCCCGAGGAAGUUGUGCAUACCACAGGAGCAGUUUUGUAGGUCAGGAGUCCAGGCAGGUUUGCACGCAGGUUAUUGCAACGCUGAAAUGAAGACGUCAGUGGCCGGGCUCUGGGGAAGGAUCUGGAAAUACUCUGGAAAUGGAAUCUAUAGCGGGAGACUCCGGACGUCCGUUCUCGUCGGCAGGGUGCCGCUAGGGAGGUUUUGACCAGCAGAGGGCGCAAGAACCAUGAGCCCUGCCGCCUGAGUUCCCGCUGCCCUAGGCCACCCUGGUCUGAAUACCAGCAUCAGCAUGUCUCUUGGAAGCUUGUUUGGAAAGGGGAAAUCUCGGGCCCCCAAUCCAGAGCUGUUGAAUCAAAAAUCUGCGUUUUGCAAAACCCUCAGGAAAUUCGUGUACGCAUGAAAGUUU